rnacentral:rRNA from 1 species
ACAUGCCUACAACAUAACAUUAAUGCAUCGGAUCCCAUUAGAACUCUGCAGUUAAACGCGCUCGGGCUAGAGUAGCACUGGGAUGGGUAACCACUCUGGAAGUCCUAGUAUGGUUUUAU